UCCCUCCCUCCCUCAUCUUUCUCCUACACCAAACAUUUGAGAUUUGGAUUUGGAAUUAUUCACCAUUUGGGAUUAUCUGUAUUAUUAUUUUUUCUUUCAGAGGCUACAUUCCCAUUGCUUCCUAUUAGGCCUGUUUUCAGCACUGAAUUCGGGCAGGACAUUGAUCUAGCAUCCUAAGUGAAAAUAAGAGAGUGUUCCUUUGGACAUCUGCUUGGUGACCACGUGGUACUCAACUGGCGGUUGGACACAAAGGAGGCUUGGUCAUCAUCUCCGCCUGUUGGGAUGCAAGGCAUGUUGGUCUAACUCUUGGGAAAUGACUUGUCUGGGAGGCCAGCUGACACCAGCAAAUAUAAAGUUGAAGGGAAACAUCAACGGCUACCACCAAGUAAGUGAGUUUACUCUUUUAUCUGCUUAAGUCUCUUUCUCUUAUUUCUGUGUCUUUUUAAUUGCCACACCUC
rnacentral:lncRNA from 1 species